rnacentral:sRNA from 1 species
UUGGUCAUCGCGCUUGGUUG